rnacentral:rRNA from 1 species
ACUCCUACGGGAGGCAGCAGUGGGGAAUUUUGGACAAUGGGCGAAAGCCUGAUCCAGCAAUGCCGCGUGCAGGAUGAAGGCCUUCGGGUUGUAAACUGCUUUUGUACGGAACGAAAAAGCUCCUUCUAAUACAGGGGGCCCAUGACGGUACCGUAAGAAUAAGCACCGGCUAACUACGUGCCAGCAGCCGCGGUAAUACGUAGGGUGCGAGCGUUAAUCGGAAUUACUGGGCGUAAAGCGUGCGCAGGCGGUUAUGUAAGACAGAUGUGAAAUCCCCGGGCUCAACCUGGGAACUGCAUUUGUGACUGCAUGGCUAGAGUACGGUAGAGGGGGAUGGAAUUCCGCGUGUAGCAGUGAAAUGCGUAGAUAUGCGGAGGAACACCGAUGGCGAAGGCAAUCCCCUGGACCUGUACUGACGCUCAUGCACGAAAGCGUGGGGAGCAAACAGGAUUAGAUACCCCUGUAGUCCCAUGA